AUCGGCUGGCCACCGUUGAGGGUGCAGAGCGCGCCGUCGUCCCCGGCCGGCGCGACCACGCCGGCCGGGUCGACGGUGACGGUGGAGUUGAGCCCCGCGCACGCCAGCUUCACGCCGAGCUGCGUGCAGACGCACCUGUUCUCCACCGUCACCAGGUAG
rnacentral:rRNA from 1 species